GCCAAAAGAAAGCACUUGAGCACUUAAAACCAAACUUUGCCUGCAUACACAGGGGUGGGACUGCCCAAAGUCAUUUCGGAGCAAUUUUUGGAGCAAACAAAAUUGCGUUUUGGAGCAGCGUGGAGCAGACUAAAUUUCAUUUUGUAGUAAUGUGGAGCAGAUAAAGUUUCAUUUUGAAGCAGUUUGGAAAGCAACUGAAUCUUGGUGGAAUAAUUGAAUAUGGCAGCAGACUUGGAAACUAUGACGAAGCACAGAAUAAAUCACCAAGAAGCGCAUAGUGGAAUCGUGCUUUGUAGUUAUUGCGUACAAGAAUAUGGAAGAAUGGGUCGAACGGUGGCACGGCGCAUGCUUUUCUGUAAAGCCGAAAACAUCGGUGGUAGUACGAUCGAACUACAUAUUCCCACGCCGACGCUCAUAGUGAUAGCAGAAAAUGUUCUCAAAUUAUGCGGUCUAAUCGACGCGGUAAAAUAAUUUCUGGGGCACCAUAUGUCACCGCAUAUCCAGAUAGGCAUAGAAAAUUUUGGGCUGGUAUAACGCAAAGCUAUCCCGAACUGCUUUUAUUGCAAUAUUAUAUGAACACUCCAGAGCAUUUUUGCCGUUGCCGUGAUGUUCCGUAUAAAGUCCAAGGUCGAUAACACUGUGGCCGCAAAUGCGAGUGAAAGCAUGUGAGGGGAGCCGACGAUCGCGGCUCAAUCUGGCGAGCACGAGGGAGGGAGGAAAGCGGAGCAAACUAUGUGGCGUGAAAGGCCGUGAGGAGAUGGGGGGAGGUAGGGGCGCUGUUCUCCGGCAGCAAUUGUGUAUUUCGCGACCAGACGCAAGGGGAACUGACGAUCGCAGCUCAAUCUUGCACGCGAAAGGGAGGAAAGUGGGGAGGCAGCGCGGGAGGGACGAGGGCAGCUUCUCCACCAAUAACUGUGCACUUUGCGCAGCCGCGCGUGCCAUAACCUGAAAGCGACCUGCAGACGGCUCAUAUGCCUUUGUGCGUCCUGUGUUCUCGCCGUUCAGUUUGCGUUGAAGCGAUAGACAGCACGAAGGUCACUUCACUCGCUGCGGCUGUUGCGCUUACCAGCAGCAGCGAGCGUCCGCGGACACCGAGUGUGAUGUGUUUGUUUGCUUGUGCGCUCUGAAACCAUAAUUGCUACACAAAUUCAGUUAAUAAGGCAAUGUUUCCAAGGUUAUAUGGCUGAUAAAGCUACUGUACUUUGUGUAGCUGUCUACCAAUUUGCUAACACAAUCGAUGCUUUGCCUUUGGGCAAAACUGCGACUUUUUAUUCCAAAUCUGCCAUUAGUCCGUGCUGGAUGAAAAUGGCUGAGGCCUCGCCCAUAUGACCGUAAGCACGGACUAAAAAUUGGAGGACGCUUAAGCUUUGCCUUUAGAGUAGAACGAGAUAGCGUUAUUGGGACCCGUUCACAUUGCAUACGGCAAGUAGGCUUCAUUCACUGCAACACUGAACGUGGGAAACCCAGCUUACAAAGACCAAGCUUACGAUCCCUUUAAGGUCGGCUUCACUUUUAAACUGAAAUGUAGUGCUGGAAAGACGUUUUUCCAGCGGCAAUAUAAGUGGUCUUACAUUAAAAUGUGAAGGCCCUAGCACCAUUUUUUAUUAUUUUAUUAAUUGUUUGCUAUUGCCCCGACGCUUGCAGGUCUGGUAGAAAUGCUGGAAAAGAUGUUUGUGUUCGAGUUUCCUCGUAGCAGAAUUAGGUUUUCUUGUACAUUCAAAUUACAAUCCGACGCCGAUUAGUAAACAAUCCGACGGCAAAUCCAACGCCGAAUUUUCUGACGGAUUUCGCUCUGAUAAAUUCAAAUUUUGUUCACCAAAACUUUGCACCACGUGGAGGGCCUGCACGGUUGAUGUGGUUGGACGAUUUUCUCCGCCUCCCGCCGGUUGCAGACGCCGGAUUUUCUGCGACACGGGGCCCUAAACACUAUUGCGUUAAAUUGUUUUAGGUUAUACCGGCCCUGGGGACAGAGACGUCCGCCCGCUGCGGCGCGUGCCUCCCUAACAUCUAGUUUGCUCACAAUGCCCUCAGCCUAUAUUUCCUUGUUUUGCGCCUCAGCUAGGGAGCGCCGCGCCACUCAGCCUACUCGACCAUAUUGUAGUACACUCUUAAUACAGCCGCCCUGGCCGUUCUGACAGCAGCAAAAACAGGCACGAGUGGCCGCGCGCGCACCGGCCACUUGCCGGAAGCGCCGAAAAGUCCAGCUUUAUGAGCACGAAAACUACGAGAAACUGUGCAGGAAGCGCUGUCGGCGGUGUGCGGAAUGUGAACGGCUGUACUCUUUUUCGGAGAACGAAUCCGCUGGCUGCUCGCAGCCACUGCCGAAGCCGUUCCGGCGCAGCGUGGCACAAUUUCGGUCAAUUUUCCAUGUUUGGCGCAGGAAUUAGCGUUUGUAUCAAAAUGGCGCAAUUGGCGCAGGAGUCUCACCCACUGCAUACAUCGCUAGAAUUAAAACUCGUAGCAGGAUGCACCAACCAUCCAACCAUUGCACAACAUUCGCAAUUAGUAAUUUCUAUCAAGGUGUUGCACCCCACACAGACUCCCGAGAUUGGUGGCCCCUGUCCAUGUGUUGUGGUGGCCACAAUAUGCAAUAUUGUAGAUGAGGA